UGGGGAAUAUUGGACAAUGGGGGCAACCCUGAUCCAGCCAUGCCGCGUGAGUGAUGAAGGCCCUAGGGUUGUAAAGCUCUUUCGGCGGGGACGAUAAUGACGGUACCCGCAGAAGAAGCCCCGCUAACUUCGUG
rnacentral:rRNA from 1 species